rnacentral:rRNA from 1 species
CGGCGCACGGGUGAGUAACACGUGGAUAAUCUACCCUUUAGAUUGGAAUAACCUGUCGAAAGACGGGCUAAUGCCAAGUAAGCUUACGAGUUCGUGAAGUUCUUGUAAGGAAAGAUGGUGCAAGCUAUCGCUGAAGGAUGAGUCUGCGUCCCAUUAGUUAGUUGGUGGGGUAAUGGCUUACCAAGACGAUGAUGGGUACCUGGUCUGAGAGGAUGACCAGGCACACUGGAACUGAAACACGGUCCAG